CCCAUUUUCACUAUCCUCGCUCUCAAUAAUCAUUUAUUCCACUUCUUUCUUCGUGAAUAUCCGUUUGGCCAUUUCUUUUUUCUCAAAACAAUUGCAUGUAGCAACUGAAUGCGUCUUCAAUGCAAUCCAAGUGCAUAAUGACUUUAUUCGGAGCAUGGGAACCUAGUCUGAGAGACAGCUGAUUAUGAAGACCUUGAUUAUGGAUUUGGGAGGGCCUGUUGAGGGCUACAACAAAAUUGUGAAGCAUCUGGUCCCUGAAAGGGUUUGAUACAUCUGAAAAACUGUCGCAGCCCCUCUUCCAUGAUGUGUUUUCGUGUGUCUGUCUGUUGUCAUGGCAACGAGCUAGGGGGCGUGACGUCAGCUCCAGGGUGAUCCGUCCCUGAUGGAUCGUUAAGUCUUGUUUGAUUACCAUCUCAUCUUUCACUCACCUGGUAACUCUCCUGGGGACACAUACCCCGAUGCUGGAUCAGCCCACCACGCCGCGACCAACACCCACCUCCAUACACCUUUGGGAUUCCAGACCCGUCCUCACCCCGACCCUUUUCGUCCCUCGUUCUGACCUGUACUCUGAUAAUAAACAUUGUCUCCUUUCCAUA